rnacentral:tRNA from 8 species
GGGAGAGCACCUCCCUUACAAGGAGGGGGUCGGCGGUUCGAUCCCGUCAUCACCCACCA